UAGCAUGGUGGGGGCAGGCGGCGAUGUAUUCUUGAAGUCUUUCCCAAGCCUCCGCCACCGUCUCAUCAGCGAGCUGCUGAAAGCUUGAGAUGCGGUUUCUCAGUGA